CCGUGCUAGACGGGGAAUUAGCGGUGCCCUGUAACCUGCAACCCGCUACAGCAGGGUCGAAUUCCUGAGCCGAGGGUCUAUCCUGUAAGGUCUGGCUUGAAUAAGUGGCUAAGAAGUUUGGGUCCGGCGCAACAGGACAUCUUGAACCGUGUCAGGUCCGGAAGGAAGCAGCACUAAGGGAUUAAUCCGGUGUGACGCAGGGCAGCCUGAAUGGAGUUAACUGUUCAAGUAACGCUUGGAGGAUAUUCUCGAAGCCAGGUGCACGG
rnacentral:SRP_RNA from 1 species